rnacentral:lncRNA from 1 species
CUGUCUCAGGCAAUGGACUAAUUCAUGGAGUGUACUGUAGUCUGAGCUCCCUGAUCAGCCGCGGGGAGGUGAGGGUAAAGAUGGGUUGGAUCAGACGAGGCAGUUCUGUCUACAGGUUCCCUGGUGGCAGGCACACGCUCCAGCCCUGAAAGAGAAUUCAGUGGGAAAUCAAUAGGUGCCCAGAGAUGUGCCUAGGCAUGGAGCUGGGAAACCUCCUCAGCCUCAAAUUAUAUACAGGGGUAUGAGGGGCAGCCUAAACUCUCAAUCCAGGAGACGAUGUGCUCCAGAUGCCUGGAGAUCUGCCUGUGUGGACAAGAGAGAGCUCCCCUGCACCAGGAUCACUGCAUAGGUAGAGUGGAGCAGCUCAGGCUGAUGUUCCAUCUGGCACUCUCAUGCUUGGAGAUCUGCCAGGGCAUGGAGCAAAGAGGGCUCCCCCAUACCAAGAUCUCUGCACAAGAAGAGUGAGAUGACUUAGGCUGCUGAACCAGAAUUGGUUUUAAAUUCCCCAUUGUCAGUUGGAAAACUACAAAGAUGCAUGCCAUUUUCAGGAUGUACCUGGGAGCUACAUUUUAGUGUCAUCAAUUUUCAUCACUUAAUCAAGGCCACAAGCAACCCUGAUGGUGGGGCGGAUGCUGGCACAACUUGUCAGAGGCUGGCAGCUGGUGUGCAGACCAAAGCCUAGUGAACCUGGGGCCUAAAUGUCAACGUGUGGCUAUCAGGACAGGAAUAAAGGCAUUGAUGUAACACUGGUUUUUGUUUUGUGUGUGUGUUUUUCUGAAGGGCAAGGUGGAUAUACUAAAAAAUGAAUUUUAAAAACAUUAAGCCCUAAUCCCACCUUCAGAACAAGUGGCUUUUCAAAAUAACUAAAAGGGUAGAACUGGAAUGUUUCUAACACAAAGAAAUGAUAAAUGCUUGAGGCGAUAGACAUCCCAAAUACCCUGAUUUGAUCAUGACAAUAUUGUAUGUUUGUAUCAAUAUUUCACAUGUACUCCAUAAAUAUAUGCAACUAUUAUGUAUCCAUAAUAAUUAAAGAUAAAUCAAUAUUUUAAAGUUCCUCAUUUGUUUUAGAUCCUUCGUUUAAAAAAACUGAGAAAAAAGGAGUUGCUUUUUUUCCCUCCUGGCUAGUGUAAAAACUAACACACAUUUACCUUUCAAUUAAAAUCUCAAGACCCUUUGCAUGUGGUACAUGCACCAAAUGCAUACAUUAGAACUGAAUUAUGGAAAAACACAAGAGAAUGACAUUGAUUUAUGCACUUCCAUUAGAUAGAGUGUUAGUUAACAAUUCAAAACAAACAGAUACCUUAAGUCUGUCAAGAAAAGAGCAUUUUAGUUGAAGAGCAAAG